CCCACGGAGAAAACCCUAGCCCACUUUCCCCCAAUCCCCGUGCACGUCUCAUCCUCACCAAUGGCGGCUGCCCCUUCCUGUCCACGCAGGCCGCGCGCCAUCGAGCCACGUCGCCGUUCCCCGAUCCCGUCGCUAGCCGUGCCCAGCCGGCGCCAUCCCCGUCGCCAGCCGCUCCUCCUCCACAAAGUCCUUCUCUGGAGCCCCCCUUUACCGGAGGAGAGAUGGGCCAGGAGGCCGGCGGCGCGAUGACAUCGAGCGGCGGGCGGAUGGAGCCGGACGAGUUGGCCGUCGUGGCGAGAGGGAGGAAGUGCCGCAAGAUAUUGUCGGCGCUGCGAGGUUUCUUUGGCCGCCCGUCUCACUUUCCUCUCGCUGCUUCCGCUUCGCCCUCGCCAUCCUCGCUUCUUCAUCUCGUCGUUUGCAAGCUACAGCCUGCAGAUCAGCCGUCCUCCGCCACAUCCACGCGGUCCACGCCUUCGGCCGUGGCCGGCGCUGCCACGGCGGCGUUCUCCCGUGGGUUUGAUUAAGUUGAGCUUUUGCUUCGUCGAUGGGGAUUUAUUUUGUUGCGCUCACAAAUUUAGCUUGUUUGUUCGUCGGCUUUGAUUUGGCCUCUUUUUGGCUGUGCCCGCGGUGCCAAUCAAUCGUCUCCUCGUUCCUCCCCAGAUCUGAUCCCGCUUCAUCUUUUUUGGACCCUUCCGUUCUGUUGCCGGUCGAUGCUUUUCCCAUAAAAAUUUGGCAUCUUCCUGUUUCUCUUCUUGGCCGCGCUUGACCAUGUCCUCCUUUUCACGAAUCUGGGUGGGUUUCUGUUUGGCUCUUUUAGGUUCUUCUUCUUAUUUGCUGGGGUCCUCUCCUCGCCUAUGUUUUUUCUCGUGUGUUCUUGGCUUACGCCUUGCCCCCUGAUGUGAUUUAACUCGGCUCUGUGUUCUGUCUUUGCAGGUCGUCGUCGCCCUAGGAUUGCCGCAUCGGUUGGCCGCGGCCGCUCUGGUCGAUCUGUUGUCCAACUGCGUUCUUGGCUAUCUACUGCUGUGGGUUGGUUGUUGUGCCCAUCUACCUGUCAGGUAAAAUCUCUUUCCCUGCUUCAGAUCUCCACGUGUUGAUCUAUUUUAUAUACUUGAAUUUGUUACCUGUUCUAUUUAAUGGCAUGUUAAAUCUGAUGCAUUUUCUAGCCAGUGGUGCUUUUGUUUUUGCUGUAAAUGUUCAGUUUGGAACCCUUGUAUUCCUCACCAAAACUUUGUGAGGUGCAAACCAUGUGUAAUCUUGACAAGUGCCAAUACACGUGGUGUGCUUUUUCUCCUGCUUAGUUUUGUUCAUAUUUGGUUUCGUGUUCUUUCGCAUGUUUCUUGUUGUUGUUGAGAAGAGAUGCUUAGUUAAGAAUGGACAGAUAAAAUGAUGUCUACGUGUUGGUUGUGCUGCGCUCGCUUCAGAUUUGAAUUCUUUGCCUAUAUCGUCUCUGUCAACAGCUCGAGCACGGCCAGCAGGACUUAAAGACAUGGUCAGGACAUUAGUAAUCAUCUCCCCCUAAUCAUGAUUUAUGUCAUUUUCCUCUAUUUAGUUCUCACAUGUCAUGGUGUCUUUUUAUUUGAUUAGGUUUGUGAUACCUGCCGGCCAUUUGAUCCAGAAAUUUAUUUAUGGAGCUCUUGGUGUGGCUGCCUAUUGUUUUAUCGAGAAAAUUGAUUCCAUAUAUUUCUACACUCUUUAUCGAAAAAUAUAUUUAUACACGUUAGUCAUUUGUAUGGUGCAGGUUCAUGAACAAUAAAUGGUUGUAGAAUGAUUUCAUAUUUUCUUUGAUUGAGUUCCCAAUUCAUACAUGUUUUGAUUCUUUAUGUUUCAUCUUAAUUUAUUCACGAGGUCUUGAAAGUUUUCUAUGGGGCCACGGCGGCAUCCGCUGCGCAGCUGCAGCAGGGACGGCGGACGAACAACCGGCUGCCCCAAGGUCCACCCAGCCAACUCCCCUUUGUGGCCUGCCCGUGAGGAGGAUCACGAGGAGCACGGGAGGCCACCGCCAUCCCCGGCCCCAUAGCAACGGGCAGCAUCGGCGCUCGCCCGAGGGGUGGAUUUGUCGUGAACAAACUGCGAUUUGGGGUCAGGUCCAUGUGUAGAUUGUUGGAUCAGUAGGGAUUGGGCACCACCGCUCUGCAAGCUCGACCUCCCUCCACCUCUCCUCAACUUCAUCCUUGGGAGGCUUCCUCAUGCUGGGCUCCAGCUUGUACCAAGGCCUGCUAGGACGAAGAUCAUGUUGCAUGACCAUUUUGAGAGAAACAACAACAAGAUUCUUACUAGGAGGAAGAGAUAUGAAUAGAUGGGCACGGAACAGUUUGUUACCUUUCUGUGGACGUAAGUGGUCCAUAUGGAUCUUGAAUACAUCAUACUAUUCCUCCAAAAAAUAUUGUUGUGCACUUUUAGAUUGGCUAUUUGGUGUUUCUUUUGUAAGCACGUAGAUGCACUCUUACUGAUUAUAUUAGUGAACAAAAUAUGUGGCAAUGUAAGAACUUCCACUCAUGAUGGGUCUCCGGAAACAAGCGAUGUGCAUCUGUUCUAAUAGCCAGCCAAGACGCAUGUAAGCUAACAUUUGACGUCGCUCUGUUCCCUAGGUUUAAGCAAUGAAUAUCGGUGAGAUUCCAACUAGGGUCAUGAUCAGGCGGCGCUCACCGUCUACAGUUUCCAAAGCCAACACCAUACCCACCAAGGGAAAAGGGAGAAGUGACAGUGGCAUUCUCUCCGAUAGCAUGUCAUAAACAUCAUUCUGAUGGAGAAGUCCGACUAUACAACCAACAACCUUUGACAUGUUGUGUUUCACCUAUUGAAUAGUUUUUUUUUCAUUUGAUGUUUUAUUACUGUUGAUAUCUAUAGAUACUUAAUAUAGCACUUUACAAACUGUUCA